GUAUUUUAUGUAUCUAUGGUUGCGAAAAAGUGGAAAAAUGAAAUCUAGUCACAUCAUAUUAUUUGUUUGUUCUCUCGCCGUUUUGUGUGGAACAUGUUAUUCGGGAGUUCGUUGUAUGAAGACUGGUGGAAUUUGUAUGAGCAACGUUUGUCCCAAAGGGUAUUUUGAGGACCAUUUGCCACACGAAGACUGUUGUUCUACUGAAAAAUGUUGUCUUCCCCUGAUACAUCAAAAGCCUUCCAAUUAUCCAAGUUACUAAGACUUUCGUGACGUGAAAUUACAAUGUAAGAACUGAGGGUUUAAUGAUUGAAUAAAAAAAAUAUGAUAUAACA